GACGAACGCUGGCGGCGUGCUUAACACAUGCAAGUCGAACGAAGAGCGAUGGAAGCUUGCUUCUAUCAAUCUUAGUGGCGAACGGGUGAGUAACGCGUAAUCAACCUGCCCUUCAGAGGGGGACAACAGUUGGAAACGACUGCUAAUACCGCAUACGAUCUAAUCUCGGCAUCGAGGAUAGAUGAAAGGUGGCCUCUACAUGUAAGCUAUCACUGAAGGAGGGGAUUGCGUCUGAUUAGCUAGUUGGAGGGGUAACGGCCCACCAAGGCGAUGAUCAGUAGCCGGUCCGAGAGGAUGAACGGCCACAUUGGGACUGAGACACGGCCCAGACUCCUACGGGAGGCAGCAGUGGGGAAUCUUCCGCAAUGGACGAAAGUCUGACGGAGCAACGCCGCGUGAGUGAUGACGGCCUUCGGGUUGUAAAGCUCUGUUAAUCGGGACGAAAGGCCUUCUUGCGAAUAGUUAGAAGGAUUGACGGACCGAAUAGAAGCCACGCAUC
rnacentral:rRNA from 1 species